AUGAGUAUGAGUAUUGAAAAUGUUUUCGUUUAAUUGUUUGUUCACCAUCAUCAUUCAUUUUUUUAGUGUUUUCGUUUGAAGAAAAAAUAAAGAAAAGAAAAUGCUAAACGAACAAGAAAGAGCACGUAGGCGUGUCAGGUACAAUACACAAGUCAUGGCUGACCCUGCGGUACCAAACCGAAAGCCGGAAGCAAAACGCCGUGCAUAGAAAUCCACCGUCAGGCACGAAGCGUUAAAAUUGACACCUUUGGCUGGAUGCCAAGCAGGGGGCGGCGCAGCCGUCCCCUCCUGCGGGUAUCCAGUUAUAUUGACCGUCAAGGAUUGAUACCUUUGGCUGGGUACCAAGCAGGGGGGCGGCGCAGCCAAAGGCAAGUUUAUUGACCGUCAAGGAUAGACAGCCCCGCAGGGCCAGCCUGGGCAGGCGCGAAGCGCCUGUACCGGGCUGGUAUAUAUUAAAUCGUUGUGCAUUCUCAUAAUGUUCACCACGUUUUUCAGCCACUAAUAAUAUUGUAUUUUUAAAUAUUGGUUUCGUUAUCAAAUCAGAAUGACAUUCACCACCAUUUGAUUCAAUAAUAUUACUUAUUUUAUCACGUUCAUUCAGACCAGAAAAAACAAUAUUUAAACCAUGUAAUAUUGGUAGUCGAUAUUUGGAUAUGAUCGAUUCUUCAUUAGCUAGUCUGUAUUCAUGUUGAUAUUUGGCCCAACAUGAUUCGAUCCAUUCUGUUGUCACGAUAGAUAUGCGGUUUAUCGCAGCUAUACGUGCUUUUUUUUGUAAGCACAGAAUCGGAAACAAGGACACUGGUAUUGGUAUUAAGAUCUUCAUGAUAACAUCCCGACAUCAAUUGAACACGUUUUUCGAUAAAUUGACGUUUAUCGAUUGGCAUGUGGGGAAAUGGUCACUUCCAAGCCACGCAUACAUAGGCUAUAAAUUGGCCAUGUGCGUUUAGGUAAUGAGCAAUGUGAAAAUGGACAGAAUUCAUCAUCACAAUAUGUUAUGACCAAUGGACCGAUGAUAUGACAUUGAUUUUUAUUAUGAAAACAAUCAAAUACUUUAUCGUCGAAAUGGUCAGUUACGAUGAUAUGAUUGUUGAUUUGACAAAUGCAAUACAUCAGAAGUGGAUUUCAUCAUUUGAAAAUUGAUCAACCGUGAUGUAUAGUUACGUUUUUGUAUUGAUAUAAAUGCUUUUUGCAUUAUAUCCGAUGGUGACGUCGUUUGAUUCGAUGUUUUAAAUGUAAGAAAUAAAAAUUUCAUUUUAAAUUAAA